UACGGAAGAUGCGAGCGUUAUCCGGAUUUAUUGGGUUUAAAGGGUGCGUAGGCGGUCUGUUAAGUCAGCGGUAAAAUUGCGGGGCUCAACCCCGUCGAGCCGUUGAAACUGGCAGACUUGAGUUGGCGAGAAGUACGCGGAAUGCGCGGUGUAGCGGUGAAAUGCAUAGAUAUCGCGCAGAACUCCGAUUGCGAAGGCAGCGUACCGGCGCCACACUGACGCUGAGGCACGAAAGCGUGGGGAUCGAACAGG
rnacentral:rRNA from 1 species